AACGAACGCUGGCGGCAGGCUUAACACAUGCAAGUCGAGCGCCCCGCAAGGGGAGCGGCAGACGGGUCAGUAACGCGUGGGAACGUACCUUUUGGUUCGGAACAACUCCGGGAAACUGGAGCUAAUACCGGAUAAGCCCUAACGGGGAAAGAUUUAUCGCCGAAGGAUCGGCCCGCGUCUGAUUAGCUAGUUGGUGAGGUAACGGCUCACCAAGGCGACGAGCAGUAGCUGGUCUGAGAGGAUGAUCAGCCACACUGGGACUGAGACACGGCCCAGACUCCUACGGGAGGCAGCAGUGGGGAAUAUUGGACAAUGGGCGCAAGCCUGAUCCAGCCAUGCCGCGUGAGUGAUGAAGGCCUUAGGGUUGUAAAGCUCUUUUGUCCGGGAAGAUAAUGACUGUACCGGAAGAAUAAGCCCCGGCUAACUUCGUG
rnacentral:rRNA from 1 species